rnacentral:lncRNA from 1 species
UCUAUAUAUACAAUGUACAAUCAAUAUUAAAUCUUUUGAAUAUUAACAUUGAUCAAUAAAGCAUGACAAUGAGAUCAGGAUCAAUCAUACAGUAUACCAAAUUAAGCAGACCUAUUGCUUUUUGAAUCUGAUACAUGGACUUGACCAUGGGUACAUAACUUUUUUCACCGAUCCAUGAAAUGUGGUCAAUGUCAAGGGAAAACAGUUUUACAGACAUGAGGAACUUUCAAUUCAUGCUCAUUGCAAGUAUAGAUAUCAUAUUAUUCAUAAGAGAGAGAAUUAACAUUAAAAACAUUAAUAAAAAUUGCUGAGUUCAAAAUAUCUGUAAUGCAGCAACAACUUUUCUCUUUAGUCUAAGGUUGGUCAAAUCCCACACAAUUCCUGUUAUGUCUUCAGCCCCUGAUGGUAUUGGAGCUUUUAGUACCACAUUAUAUCAAUACUGGCUGCCAGUUUCAUAUUCCAUCUCUUUGAUAUGAGAGAUAACAUCUUGCCUAACUGGAAGUAAAAAAGAAAAUUCAUCACAAAUUAAUUAAAACUUUUAAAUUUAGCAUUCUGAAGAAGAAAACUAUCACUAUAGUAUAUGGUUGAAAGCAAUCUGACUACCAAAUGUGUUUAUGUGUUGCAACACUGAGGGAUGUUCCAGAAAUAAAUGUAGGGGGAUCAGGGGUC